AUUCAGCUGACGAGUCCCAAAAUAGAACGAAACGCACUUCAAACUGGAU
rfam:Schistosoma mansoni strain Puerto Rico chromosome 4, complete genome